UGUUAACAGUUAGUCUCAGUGGCAAAGACUUGACAUGAUGCAUUAGAUGUGUUCAAUUGAAGAAGCUGAUGAAUUCUCAUGCAGGCCAAUUGUGAGUGAGACAUUCGAGGUUAGGUUAAAGAUAAUGUUGUCCAGAGCAUUGCAAACUUCUUCAUGAUCUGCAGGUCCUGGACCAGAUCCUGGACGUAGCAAAAGCUUCAGGGUCAUCGGAAGUAUAUAGAUCAUUAUAUUUGUGCAAAUGCUAGCUCUUUUGGAUACAUGAAUGUAUAUAUAGAUGAUUGACAACUUUUGGAUACAUGAAUGUAUAUAUAGAUGAUUGACAAAUGCUAGCUCUUUUGGAACACUAGACGCUUGAAUUAGAAUACUUCAUUACGUAAAUAUAUUGAGCAUUA